GGAUCGAUGAUGACACCCAAAUAUGCAUUCCUUGGAAAAGCUGAACAAAAUGAGUGAGAAAUCCCUACCGUCUCCACUCAUCAAACUGAGGUCC
rnacentral:snoRNA from 1 species